GACGAACGCUGUCGGCGUGCUUAACACAUGCAAGUCGAACGGAAAGGCCCUGCUUUUGUGGGGUGCUCGAGUGGCGAACGGGUGAGUAACACGUGAGUAACCUGCCCUUGACUUUGGGAUAACUUCAGGAAACUGGGGCUAAUACCGGAUAGGAGCUCCUGCUGCAUGGUGGGGGUUGGAAAGUUUCGGCGGUUGGGGAUGGACUCGCGGCUUAUCAGCUUGUUGGUGGGGUAGUGGCUUACCAAGGCUUUGACGGGUAGCCGGCCUGAGAGGGUGACCGGCCACAUUGGGACUGAGAUACGGCCCAGACUCCUACGGGAGGCAGCAGUGGGGAAUAUUGCACAAUGGGCGGAAGCCUGAUGCAGCAACGCCGCGUGCGGGAUGACGGCCUUCGGGUUGUAAACCGCUUUCGCCUGUGACGAAGCGUGAGUGACGGUAAUGGGUAAAGAAGCACCGGCUAACUACGUGCCAGCAGCCGCGGUGAUACGUAGGGUGCGAGCGUUGUCCGGAUUUAUUGGGCGUAAAGGGCUCGUAGGUGGUUGAUCGCGUCGGAAGUGUAAUCUUGGGGCUUAACCCUGAGCGUGCUUUCGAUACGGGUUGACUUGAGGAAGGUAGGGGAGAAUGGAAUUCCUGGUGGAGCGGUGGAAUGCGCAGAUAUCAGGAGGAACACCAGUGGCGAAGGCGGUUCUCUGGGCCUUUCCUGACGCUGAGGAGCGAAAGCGUGGGGAGCGAACAGGCUUAGAUACCCUGGUAGUCCACGCUGUAAACGGUGGGUACUAGGUGUGGGGUCCAUUCCACGGGUUCCGUGCCGUAGCUAACGCUUUAAGUACCCCGCCUGGGGAGUACGGCCGCAAGGCUAAAACUCAAAGGAAUUGACGGGGCCCCGCACAAGCGGCGGAGCAUGCGGAUUAAUUCGAUGCAACGCGUAGAACUUUACCUGGGUUUGACAUGGAUCGGGAGUGCUCAGAGAUGGGUGUGCCUCUUUUGGGGUCGGUUCACAGGUGGUGCAUGGCUGUCGUCAGCUCGUGUCGUGGGAUGUUGGGUUAAGUCCCGCAACGAGCGCAACCCUUGUUCACUGUUGCCAGCACGUUAUGGUGGGGACUCAGUGGAGACCGCCGGGGUCAACUCGGAGGAAGGUGGGGAUGACGUCAAGUCAUCAUGCCCCUUAUGUCCAGGGCUUCACGCAUGCUACAAUGGCUGGUACAGAGAGUGGCGAGCCUGUGAGGGUGAGCGAAUCUCGGAAAGCCGGUCUCAGUUCGGAUUGGGGUCUGCAACUCGACCUCAUGAAGUCGGAGUCGCUAGUAAUCGCAGAUCAGCAACGCUGCGGCGAAUACGUUCCCGGGGCU
rnacentral:rRNA from 1 species